ACCUUCGUGGUGUAGUGGUCAGCACGCUGGACGCGUAACCGAGAGGUCCGUGGUUCGAUUCCCGGCGAAGGCG
rnacentral:tRNA from 1 species